GUGGGGAAUAUUGGACAAUGGGGGGAACCCUGAUCCAGCCAUGCCGCGUGUGUGAAGAAGGCCUUUUGGUUGUAAAGCACUUUAAGCGAGGAGGAGGCUACCGAGAUUAAUACUCUUGGAUAGUGGACGUUACUCGCAGAAUAAGCACCGGCUAACUCUGUACCAGCAGCCGCGGUAAUACAGAGGGUGCAAGCGUUAAUCGGAUUUACUGGGCGUAAAGCGCGCGUAGGUGGCCAAUUAAGUCAAAUGUGAAAUCCCCGAGCUUAACUUGGGAAUUGCAUUCGAUACUGGUUGGCUAGAGUAUGGGAGAGGAUGGUAGAAUUCCAGGUGUAGCGGUGAAAUGCGUAGAGAUCUGGAGGAAUACCGAUGGCGAAGGCAGCCAUCUGGCCUAAUACUGACACUGAGGUGCGAAAGCAUGGGGAGCAAACAGGAUUAGAUACCCCGGUAGUCC
rnacentral:rRNA from 1 species